CUGGGUUUGACAUCCCGCGAAUCCCUAUGAAAUUAGGGAGUGCCCUUCGGGGAACGCGGAGACAGGUGCUGCAUGGCUGUCGUCAGCUCGUGCCGUGAGGUGUUGGGUUAAGUCCCGCAACGAGCGCAACCCUUGUUGCCAGUUGCUACCAGGUAAUGCUGGGCACUCUGGCGAGACUGCCCGGGUCAACCGGGAGGAAGGUGGGGACGACGUCAAGUCAUCAUGGCCCUUACAUCCAGGGCUACACACGUACUACAAUGGCAGGUACAAAGGGUUGCCAAGCCGCGAGGCCGCGCUAAUCCCAGAAAGCCUGUCUCAGUCCGGAUUGCAGUCUGCAACUUGACUGCAUGAAGCUGGAAUCGCUAGUAAUCCCGGAUCAGCAUGCCGGGGUGAAUACGUUCCC
rnacentral:rRNA from 1 species